rnacentral:sRNA from 1 species
AAAAAAACUCCAUAGAGUUGUUUUCUCAAUCGGGUCCGAGGAAUCGUCGAUCUGGACUUGGAAUCGUCGAGAAAAGUUUACCGGGUCCGAGGGUUUGUCGACCAGGACGAGGAAUCGUCGACCGGGUCCGAGGAUUUGUCGACCAGGGGUUGAAAUCGUCGACCAGGUCCGAGACUUCAUCGACCGGGUCCGAGGAAUCGUCGACCAGGACGAUGAAUGGUCGAUGAAAAUCUAUCGGGUUCGAGGAAUGGUCGACCAGGGGUUGAAAUCGUCGACCAGGUCCGAGACUUCAUCGACCGUGUCCGAGGAGUGGUCGAGGGUUUGUCGACCAGGACGAGGAAUCGUCGACCGGGUCCGAGGAUUUGUCGACCAGGGGUUGAAAUCGUCGACCAGGUCCGAGACUUCAUCGACCGGGUCCGAGGAUUCGUCG